CCUGGUGGCCAUUGCGGGGACCCAAACACCCGAUCCCAUCCCGAACUCGGAAGUGAAACGCCCCAGCGCCAAUGGUACUCCGUCUUAAGACGUGGGAGAGUAGGUCGCCGCCAGGC
rnacentral:rRNA from 1 species